CCAAAACAAAACAAAAUCUGACAGCGGCACAGCAAGAACACAAACCGGACAGCAGCGAAAAGAAUACUCGACGGCGAAAAGAAUACAGAACUGCAGCAGGUAAAAAAUACAGAAAAGAAGAAGAAAAAGAAACGAAGAGAAGAAGAAGAUGAUAACAGACGAAUAAGAAGAAGAAGAGAAGAAGUGAAGAAUAGAAAAAACAAAAAAAGAAGGAAAACAUACUUGGCGACGAUGCAACUCAGCGAUGGCGCGACUCAGCGAUGGCGGCGGCGGACGGAAAUGGGUUCAGGGAAAACUUGAUGUGACCAAGAAAGUUACUGGUAACUGACAGCUUACGAGUUCUAUGCUUUGCUGUGAAAUUGCUUUGCUACCUAUAAUAGAGAAGAGGACAGCAACCUGCGUCAUUAUACAUAUGAGCGGUAUGAGUGAUUUGAUAGUCGAUAAGAUCCUGCCAUCAUCUGCUCUUGCGACUUGUGAGAAUAGCUGGAGGUUGUAUGGUUAAGCCAUAACUCCUGAAUGAACAGAUAAGACAGAUAAAAGAGGUUUAAUAAGAUAAGGAUUUACAGC